UCUUUGUAGUCUAAACGGUUCUGCUCCAGUCUAAUCAUAAAUGACACUGUAUACACAUGGACAUGGUUGCUCAGUAAUUGAAGCGUUGCUUCCUGUGACUACACAGACAUAGACGUCGUCUUUCCCUAAAGAAUCAGGCAUGCUGUCCCUGGGAAGGCUUGUGUCCUACAUAUUUUUCCUGCCACUUACCUCGGAAAACCACAAUUGUGCCAUUCCCGAGUGUGGUAACCGCGCCCACAGGACGGCCACUGCAGAGGUUCAUAUCGUUGCUCUUGCCUGCUUGGUAACUUGGCCUUUGGUUUGGUUUAGGAGUGGGCCUGCCCCAACUGGGUUUAUUAGCUGCUGGUGUCAGACGGUUUGGUAGGGGACGGUUUGGCCCAGCCUGGGGAGUUGUGGUAGGUUCAGAUGUUGUCGGAGUUGAA